GUCUAGGUGUGCUUUCAAAGCUAUUCUGUAACUCUGAGUAAACUGUGAUAUGCAAGUAUGUUCUGUCUGGUAAUGAUUUAACUGGCUUCCCUCCACCUCCUUGGAAAAACCAGUUUUGUGUCCAUUUGCAACUCAUCCCACAUGGUUUUUCUCACAUGGAUUUUUUUAAAUGUUUUCGUUGAUCCACUUAUAACAUCUGCUUGCGUGCCUCAUGUCAUGCCAUAGCAGAGAGCUGGAUGGGAAGAGGAGCAGCCGAGACUCAAACUGGUACCCAUAUCGGAUGCCAGCACUGCGGACGGUGGCUUAACCUGCUAAGCCACUGCGCCAGCCCCAUCUAUAUAUGAUUUUCCAGGUGAGUCAAUGGGACGAUUGAUUCAACUCACAGCAACUUACCACCCUGCAAUCUUUUCUAGGACAAAUGUAUGGUGACACAGUAGAGAGUAAAAGAGAAUAUUAGCCAGCAUUCAAUAAUUGACAAGAUUAGAAAUUGCGAAGUUUGGGAUAUUUUCUCAACCAUGUGCCGGUCUGCAA